AAUUGUUAGUGGCAGACGGGUGAGUAAUGCGUAGGAAUCUACCUAGUAGUACGGAAUAGCCAUUAGAAAUGGUGGGUAAUACUGUAUAAUCCCCGAGGGGGAAAGAUUUAUCGCUAUUAGAUGAGCCUACGUUAGAUUAGCUAGUUGGUGAGGUAAUGGCUUACCAAGGCUAUGAUCUAUAGCUGGUCUGAGAGGACGAUCAGCCACACUGGAACUGAGAUACGGUCCAGACUCCUACGGGAGGCAGCAGUGGGGAAUAUUGGACAAUGGGCGAAAGCCUGAUCCAGCUAUGCCGCGUGAGUGAAGAAGG
rnacentral:rRNA from 1 species